GUCUGCCAAAAAGGGAGCGAACCUGAUGCUCUUUUUUCUUUUAAAUGCUUCUUUGAGACUAUUUUCUUAAUCCAAAAAAAGACGGCAAAGAGGAGAAUGGGACAGCUUUGAGUAGAAACAGAUGAAGCGGGCUUGUUUUUUUGUCGAGCAGUGGCUGGUACAGGCAGUUAAGGGGGAACUUUGACAGCGGGCCAGGAAAAAACAUUAACUGUGCUGUGUCCGGCAGGCUGAGUCUCAGUUGCCGAAGGGAAGGAGGACACUUUCCUUUGGCUGGCAUAGCACAGUGCUAGCGUUAACAGGCUUAGUCCCUGUCCAGGGGGGUGACUUCAGGACGGACGCUACAUCAACAUCUAGACCAAAACAGACACGCUAAGACAAAAGAAAUGCAGUAACAGGUGGCUGAGAAACAUUUCUAGAGCUAGUAAAAAUAUUUAGGAUGGAGUUUCAAUGGUCGAUGGCAUACCAAGUCUCCACUAAGGGCUCCUCCAAGCCUCUGGAACCUAUGCACUAUGUCAACCUUUUCCCAACCAGUGGCCUAGCAAAUGCUGGGGGAUGGAAUCAAGAGAUCAGUAGAUGCUGCUGCCAAACCCACCCAAUCCUAGGAGGACACCUUUAAUGAGCAAUCUGUACGGCAACUUCUUGGACCAGCUGGAGGCAUUAGCCCAGGUCAAGAGAGACACCAGGUGGAAAGGCAUCAGUGACUCAUAUGAAAGAGGAUCACGGUGGAAUGUUCUUUUCCCAGAGGCCUGUGCCUGUUGGAAUUAACCCUGCCAUAGAUCCCCUCCACCAACCGCAGGGGCCAGGUCAAACUGAUUAUCUUUCAGAGUGGCCUCGCGACAAGACCAGGGCUAUUAAAAGAGAUGCUCAUAAAAUGAUCUCGCACCUCUGCUCUUUUUACUUCUGCCACAUGUCUGGAGAUGACCAUAGGUCAGGUCCAAAGGGUGCCACUUUCAGGUAAACACCUGAAUGGAGAAGCAGCUACAAGACCUUUGCUUGGUGUAGUCGUAAGUUGGUCCCGUUCCACAGAGGACAUCAGUGUCAUCUUCCCCUGCGGCAGACGUAAUGGCAUCUGAUCGAGGGAUCUCUGUCUUCCUCCUCAUGCCCUCAGUUCAGACAGAAUACUCAAAGCGUGACAGAGAUGGGAUGCAGUCUGUCUCCCCGUCCACAAUGCAUUCCCUCUGAUGAAUUUUUCAAGCUAUUAUGUUUUUUUUUCUCCGUUGUUCUUGAGCACUAAGUUCUUAAUACACUGUGGCAUGCUGUUAAUGACCCAAACAAUCGCUGUUUCACACAUACAUAUUUCAUUACAACAGCUGAACAAAUUACAUAUUUAUGCUUUAUAAGGGGGAAUGCCAUUCGGAUUCAUUAGCUAUGCAGGCAGGUACAGGAGACCCAUCUGCAGCUGCAUCUGUACAACAGGAGCUGACAAUAACAGCUACGACCAUCUUUGCUCGUGCAAACAUUCACAUAAGCAGAUAAUACCGUGCCCAAAACCCUCAUGGUGAAGACGUAACAAGGUGA